rnacentral:rRNA from 1 species
CUCAUACAUGCAGUCGAACGAGGUCUUCGGACCUAGUGGCGCACGGGUGAGUAACAUGUGGGAAUCUACCUGAAGGUUCGGAAUAACUGCGGGAAACUGUAGCUAAUACCGGAUGUGUCUGCAAAGAGAAAGAUUUAUCGCCUUCAGAUGAGCCCGCAUUAGAUUAGCUAGUUGGUGAGGUAACUGCUCCACCAAGGCUACGAUCUAUAGCUGAUUUGAGAGGAUGAUCAGCCACACUGGGACUGAGACACGGCCCAGACUCCUACGGGAGGCAGCAGUAGGGAAUAUUGGACAAUGGGGGAAACCCUGAUCCAGCAAUGCCGCGUGAGUGAAGAAGGCCUUCGGGUUGUAAAACUCUUUCAUCAACGAUGAUAAUGACAUUAAUUGAAGAAGAAGCCCCGGCUAACUUCGUGCCAGCAGCCGCGGUAAUACGAAGGGGGCUAGCGUUGUUCGGAAUCAUUGGGCGUAAAGCGUAUGUAGGCGGAUCAAAAAGUUAGAUGUGAAAUCCCUGGGCUCAACCCAGGAACUGCGUUUAAAACUAGUGAUCUAGAAUUUGGUAGGGGUUAGUAGAAUUUCCAGUGUAGAGGUGAAAUUCGUAGAUAUUGGAAAGAAUACCAGUGGCGAAGGCGACUAACUGGGCCAUUUUUGACGCUAAGAUACGAAAGCGUGGGUAGCAAACAGGAUUAGAUACCCUGGUAGUCCACGCAGUAAACGAUGAGUGCUAGUCGCUGGGACAAUAGUUUCAGUGUCGAAGCUAACGCAUUAAGCACUCCGCCUGGGAAGUACGGUCGCAAGAUUAAAACUCAAAUAAAUUGACGGGGGCCCGCACAAGCGGUGGAGCAUGUGGUUUAAUUCGAAGCAACGCGAAGAACCUUACCAGACCUUGACAUGGUGUGUUUGAAUUACAGAAUCGUAAUUCUUCAGUUCGGCUGGCACACACACAGGUGCUGCAUGGCUGUCGUCAGCUCGUGUCGUGAGAUGUUGGGUUAAGUCCCGCAACGAGCGCAACCCUUCAUUUUUAGUUGCCAUCAGGU